UACGGGGGAGCAGCAGUGGGGAAUUUUGCGCAAUGGGGGAAACCCUGACGCAGCAACGCCGCGUGGGUGAUGAAGGCCUUCGGGUCGUAAAGCCCUGUCGGGAGGGAAGAAAUGAUUGUGAGCUAAUACCUCAUGGUCUUGACGGUACCUCCGAAGGAAGCACCGGCUAACUCCGUGCCAGCAGCCGCGGUAAUACGGAGGGUGCAAGCGUUGUUCGGAAUUAUUGGGCGUAAAGCGCGUGUAGGCGGUCUUUUAAGUCUGAUGUGAAAGCCCCGGGCUCAACCUGGGAAGUGCAUUGGAAACUGGAAGACUUGAGUACGGGAGAGGAGAGUGGAAUUCCUAGUGUAGGAGUGAAAUCCGUAGAUAUUAGGAGGAACACCGGUGGCGAAGGCGGCUCUCUGGACCGAUACUGACGCUGAGACGCGAAAGCGUGGGUAGCAAACAGGAUUAGAUACCCUGGUAGUCCACGCCGUAAACGAUGAGUACUAGGUGUUGCGGGUAUUGACCCCUGCAGUGCCGCAGCUAACGCAUUAAGUACUCCGCCUGGGAAGUACGGUCGCAAGACUAAAACUCAAA
rnacentral:rRNA from 1 species